GACGAACGCUGGCGGCGUGCCUAAUACAUGCAAGUCGAACGAAACUUUCUUACACCGAAUGCUUGCAUUCACCGUAAGAAGUUGAGUGGCGGACGGGUGAGUAACACGUGGGUAACCUGCCUAAAAGAAGGGGAUAACACUUGGAAACAGGUGCUAAUACCGUAUAUCUCUAAGGAUCGCAUGAUUCUUAGAUGAAAGAUGGUUCUGCUAUCGCUUUUAGAUGGACCCGCGGCGUAUUAACUAGUUGGUGGGGUAACGGCCUACCAAGGUGAUGAUACGUAGCCGAACUGAGAGGUUGAUCGGCCACAUUGGGACUGAGACACGGCCCAAACUCCUACGGGAGGCAGCAGUAGGGAAUCUUCCACAAUGGACGCAAGUCUGAUGGAGCAACGCCGCGUGAGUGAAGAAGGUCUUCGGAUCGUAAAACUCUGUUGUUAGAGAAGAACACGAGUGAGAGUAACUGUUCAUUCGAUGACGGUAUCUAACCAGCAAGUCACGGCUAACUACGUGCCAGCAGCCGCGGUAAUACGUAGGUGGCAAGCGUUGUCCGGAUUUAUUGGGCGUAAAGGGAACGCAGGCGGUCUUUUAAGUCUGAUGUGAAAGCCUUCGGCUUAACCGGAGUAGUGCAUUGGAAACUGGAAGACUUGAGUGCAGAAGAGGAGAGUGGAACUCCAUGUGUAGCGGUGAAAUGCGUAGAUAUAUGGAAGA
rnacentral:rRNA from 1 species